GUCUCUUCUUUUCCUGAUUUUAUUAAUUUCAUUUGCUGUCAUUUCUUUUCAAUAAUUACUGCCUUGAUAGAAAACAGACAUUUGGGUCAAUUUAUAGGAGAAAAACAUAAAAUAUCAGAUGCCACAGAAUCUAUAUUUAAGGGCUUCCAAAGGAACCCAGAAUAUCUAAUGGCUUUUUUUUUUCUUCUUCUUUUUUUUUCCGGGCCAGGGGGUGGGUGGCAAUGCUGGUCAGAAUAUGAAGUUUAGGAGAAUGGUGAGAUUUUUGUAGGAGUUGUAACCAGUGUGAUCACUCAGGCCGAAUCAAGAUAUUUGCAGAAGGGACUAAACUCAUAAUAAUCCCCCAGGAGAGAAGCCUUGAUUCAUCAGAUAUUGCUCCUAAGCCCACGAUUUUUCUUCCUUCAGUUGCUGAAAUAAAUCUUCAUAAGGCUGGGACAUAUCUUUGUCUCCUUGAGAAAUUUUUCCCCGAUGUUAUUAAGGUAUAUUGGAAGGAAAAGGAUGGCAAUGCAAUUCUGGCAUCCCAGCAGGGAAAUACCAUGAAGACUAAGGACACGCACAUGAAAUUCAGCUGGCUGACCGUGACUGCAAAGUCAAUGGAUAAAGAACACAAAUGCAUCGUCAAACACGAGAAUAAUAAAAGAGGAAUUGAUCAAGUAAUUCUUUUUCCUUCAAUAAAUAAAGAGGUUGCUGCUAUUAAUCCUAAAGUAGAUGAUUGUCUGGAAGAUAAAAGUGAUAUACUGCGGUUGCAGCUCACCAAUACCUCCGCCUACUACACCUACAUCCUCCUCCUCCUCAAGAGCCUGGUCUACUUUGCCAUCAUUUCCUUCUGUCUGUUUAGGAGAACAACAGUCUGUGGUCAUGGAAAGAGUUCAUAACAGAUGAUGGCACAAUUUUUCUUCAUUCUUUUCCCUGGACAUGUCUGCUGAGGAUGUAGCUGGACUUCCUUUCUGGGUUUGGAUUAUUUCAGUUCCCAUGCAUUUUUCUAUCACAUCAUUAUCACAUAAAUGGUUUUCAAACCACUGGGCAAAUGAUACUUUCUCUCUGUAACAACCAGUUUGGCUAUGAAUCAGGUGCAGGGCCUAAGGGUACUCUUUAGCACCACCCUUCCCAUAAUCUCAGUCACCUCCUCUAGCAAACCCACAUAAUCAUGCCUUCUGAGUACAGACAGCACGCAGCUCCUAGUCCCAUUCCUUAGUGCUCUUUAUCCAGGGACCUAUCCUGAGGCUUUCCAUUUCAUGCACCAGAAGCUACCUUCUCAGCUGCUUUUAUUCUGUAUGUUGUUUUUUAUAGC